UCAACAAAAUCACUGAUGCUGGAGUCGCCUGAGUCAUCACUCAGCACCAGGAUAUUGUUGGAG
rnacentral:pre_miRNA from 1 species